CAGACUUUUGUAUAGAAGAAAUAAAUAGCGUGAUUUUUGGGGGUCAAAGUGUUUAAUCACCUAUUGCCAACUUAAAGUGAAAUAAUUAAAUGGGUU